rnacentral:rRNA from 14 species
ACCUGGUUGAUCCUGCCAGUAGUCAUAUGCUUGUCUCAAAGAUUAAGCCAUGCAAAUGCCAGUAUAAGCAACUUUUACUGCGAAACUGUUAAUGGCUCAUUAAAUCGGUUAUAGUUUAUUUGAUGGUACAAUUGCUACUUGGAUAACCGUGGUAAUUCUAGAGCUAAUACAUGCGUACAAGCCCCGACUUCUGGAAGGGGUGUAUUUAUUAGAUAAAAAUCAACACUGUUGGUGAAUCAUGAUAACUUCUCGGAUCGCAUGGCCUCGUGCUGGCGAUACUUCAUUCAAAUAUCUGCCCUAUCAACUGUCGAUGGUAGGAUAGAGGCCUACCAUGGUUGCAACGGGUAACGGGGAAUAAGGGUUCGAUUCCGGAGAGGGAGCCUGAGAAACGGCUACCACAUCCAAGGAAGGCAGCAGGCGCGCAAAUUACCCAAUCCCGACACGGGGAGGUAGUGACAAUAUGUAACAAUAUACGGCUUUAUCGUCGUAUAAUUGGAAUGAGUACAAUUUAAAUCCCUUAACGAGGAACAAUUGGAGGGCAAGUCUGGUGCCAGCAGCCGCGGUAAUUCCAGCUCCAACAGCGUAUAUUAAAGUUG